ACAGGCUUGCAGUGGCUUUUAUAGGGAGCGUGCUGUUGGCUUGCAGAGUGCCACCUGAAGGGAUAGCCAUUCUGGGAGAGUUUCAUGAGAAGAAAGAAAGCUGAAGAGGAACUGGUGGCUGGACGGCCCUUAUGACUUUGCCAAUUUUCUCUUCUCGCUGCCUGUCUUCCUCCCCAAAUAUGGAGCUAAAUUAGAAGCAUUGGGAACGUGUUAGGAGAAGACGCAAAAUGCGGUAAUCCUGCUAAGGUUGGAGAAAUCCUGACUGAGUUGCAGCAAGAAAACAGCUUGUUAAACACCAGCCGGGCAGAAGUUUUCGUCUCAUUGGAACGCUACUUACUCAAUGCUUGAACAGCUCUUGGAACAGCAGGAACCUGGGAGUGUC
rnacentral:lncRNA from 12 species